GAGAAAUACACAAUAAGGAGAAGUUGAGAGAACAAAUAAAGGUUGCGAGAGAGAAAAUGAAAAAAAAUCACGGAAGAAGCUAGAAAAAUAAAAAUAGGUGCUUUUAUACUGUAAAGAAGUGAUGACUUGCAACUACAGAAAAAGAAAACGAAGGUUGUGGUAUAAGAAGCAUGCCCUGACAAACGGAGAUAAAAUUAAAACAGAUGCACCGGUCUAUGGUUGGAAACAAUGACACUAAAAUGGAUAGAGAUUUAAGCAAACUUGAAAAUAAUGCUUAUUUUUUAAACUGCUGAAGAAAAAUGAAGGGAACGGAUACAGUUGUACCGAGACUUAAGUACGUAAUUAAACAAAAAUGAAGUUGCUUAUGAAAACGUUGUAUAACACGUAGGCCAGUCAACUAAGCAAACCUAGCAUAUUUUAUGCAUUUUACUUCCUUGAGUAGGUAGCUGUUUUACUUAGCUGGAUAAUCGGUAUAUUGACACGUCUCACGUCACAGGUGUAAGUGUACCUUGCAAUAUACAGUAACUUAUCGUUUAAAGCUAAAAGACAUAAAUGUUAUGGUUAUCGAAUGGCCAGUUAUCAGUGGUUAUGUUUUAAGUUGUGAAUGUCCAACAAAGUGGGCAAUUAUAAGUUUAAAACACGACCAUCACAAAACAAUAAUUGCCUUGUGUGUCUAAGCAUACUCAAUAAGCCGAUGGCCACUUUCACAGAAUAGAGGAGAAUUUCAGUUUUUAAAAA